GGGACAGGAACGCGCGCCGCCGGGAGGCCGAGGAGGCAGCCGGAGAGCGCGCCCGCGAGUGGGAGCGGGAGGGGAGGCGGGGAGCUGCGGGCGGCGCGGGCUGGACUCAACCAUCCCCGCGGAGGGGCGGGGGCUGCCUCGGCGCGCACGCUGCAGAAGGAGACUCGUUGGCUCGCGUGGGGAAGCCCACGCCGCGCACGGCACGCGGGAGAAACCACGCGAGGGAGCAAGGGAGCGAAGGAGCGGGGCCGCGGGCGAGCCGGGUGCUGCGGGACUCAGGCUGGCCGGCCUCCAUGGACUGCUUUCUCCUUGAGGAGCAGAGCGCCAAGCGAGCCCUGCGUAACUUGGGAAAGAAAAGCGGGUGGACGGGAUGGAGCAAGGGCGCGCUGGGCCCGGACACACUGCUGUCCAAGUGCCUUUCACACCUGGGACAUGCUCUAGAGCAGGGCGCCCGCAGACAGGGAGGCGCCAAGGCCCCAUCUCCUCACUUUUGCUGGAGCAGGAUCGCCGGACAGGAACUUCAGCUCUUAGGAAACCAGACCCCCGUGUGGCGAUCUGGUUGGGAGAGCCGAGCCGCUGGGCGUGCUGGCACAGUCAGGGGAGCCAGUCGGGCACCCAGGGGUCAGGAAGGGGCCUCAGACAGGCCGAGGUCCUCCCCACUGUGCAGAGCCCUGGAGCCAGCAGAGAGGGGAGCGGGAGGCAGCAGCUGUGGCUACUCUCUGCGGGGCCUCACGGGCUCCCUGCCAGGGGCCUCUUGCGGGCCUCCGGCACACUCAGGGCAAGACAGAGAGGUGGUGGUUCAGUGGAAAUAAAGCCUCAGGUCACCGUGGGGGGGGGGGGCUACCACACUCAGAACAUUCCAGCGUCCAGCCACACAACUGCUUGCUGCCCUUCCCACGCGGCUGGCGGCGAGGGGUGGGCCCACGGUGGGCCCACCCUGGGCCCUGGCCCCUGGCCCCUGGCCCUACACCUGCACCUUCUCAGGCCCUCCAGAGAUGAAAGGGCUUCGCUGCUUCUCCUUCUGCAGGAAUUCUGCCUGCUGUGUGCUCCCUACACUGUGAUCCUGUGGCGUGGCGGUGAACCCAGAAGCCGCGGGGGGACUACAGGCUGCAGAUGUAAGCCCUGAGCGCCAGUUCACCCAGUUCACGGAGGGCUCCUGUGGCCCCUGCGGCCAGAAGCUUUCUCUUCUAGAGGCAGCAGCUUCCAAACUGGAGGAACUGCGUCACAUCUCCAGAAGUGACUCGGGUUGUCCCGGGGCAGGGUCCUUUUUGAUAUUUUUAUUUAUUUUUUGCCUCUGUUAUCCUUGGAGGGAGAACAGAAAAACAAGAGCUCAGGAAACCCCAGAAAUUCCCAGGGGAGAACCGUGGCUUCCACUGUUUAGGCUGAACCAGGUAUGUGGAGGGGAGGGUCACCCCUCUGUGAUUUUAACUCAGAGCCCAGGGUACCUGUAACUCUGCAAGUGAGCAAAAACGCCUUUUUAAGACCCAGUAAGUGCUCCAGUAGUUCACUUCGAGCUCAUCAGGAAAAAUUGAUCUCCUUCAGGAGCUAAGGAGAAAGUGUCCUGGCUUUGCACUGCCAUCCCUAACGACUUGUGUCACCUAGAAGCAUUUCUGCCAUUAGAAAACGUUUCCAAAAUCGAACUCUCCUGGGCUAUGACUCCUACGUGACUUCCAGGCUAUUAGGAUCCCAGGACUGCAGUUGAGUAUCCCUUGGGAAACCAGACACCUUCCCCAGAGAUGCUGACUCCCAGGCUCCACAUUCAGCUCCCCCUCACCCUGAUCCACUUAGAAAACCUUUUGCCCUUUCCCCCCAGUGUCCGUGGAAGAGAUUCCAUUCAAAUCAUUGCUAACUGAAGAUUCUGAUAACCAGGAGCCAUGCAGUGUUGCUGCAUUUAUAACGAGACAUUGUCUUCCACCAGAUAGAAGAUAAAGAGCUCUAAUAAUUCAUGACAAGUUGUUUCGUGGUCAUACGUAGGAGAGGGUGGGAAAUGGCCGUCAAAUAAGAUAGGCCGAAUUUGUAAUCUGGCUGUGUUUGUGAGUUAGUAUUGCAAUCUCCCAAGAUGGGCAAUUGCUUUGGAGGGAAAUCGUGGGGCACUGCUGCCAUCUAGUGCCCAGGUUUUCUUGUUUGGUGUUUCUAGAGAAAUCCAUCCUUGGGUCUCUGCUCUCUUACCUGAUCGGGGCUCCCUUUACUGUUUUUGAGGGCCCUUCCAGGAGACGCCCUCCCUCCAGGCUGUCAGGCAACAUGUGAAAGUUAUUGUUACACUGGAGGCUUUCUCACUUUGAUUUUGAUUUUAUGAAAUCGCUGUAAAAGUUUGAUCACUACCAAAAUUCAAACGUACAGUGUCCAUUGAGCUUGGGUGCUGGGCCUUCACACCAGGCAUGCUGGUCAUUUGUUGUUGCUGUUGAUGAUGAUGAUGAUGAUGAUGUGGCUGGUUUCUUUUACUCCUAGGCCUUUUAUUAACAUUUGAACAAUUCAUAAUUUAUAUCCAAGUACAGAAUAAAGUUAGACUCUGAGUCUUUCCUUUUAGUCUUUCGAAAUUUUAGCCUCUCAAAAUAUUUUUAAAUGUUGACAUUUUAAAUUUUUCAUCAACACAUAGUAACUACAUGUUUAGGAACACAGUGUGCUAAUUCUACACCUGUAUACAAUGUGCAAGAUGCAAUCAUGGUCAUUGAUUGGCAUUGGAAUCUUCUCAAACAUUUAGCAUUUGUUUGUGUUGGGAAGCUUUGACCUCCUCUCUCCUAAGUCUUUAUGGUCACUGCUAUGGCUUGUAUCUACCUAGAUCUCCCUCCAAAUCCUCAGGCAGUCAUAGGUGGGGCUUUUGGGAGCUGGCUGGAUCUAGACUGUGUGACACUAAGGUUAAGGUGUUGUGGUACUAAAUUCAUCCACUGAUUGGAAUCAGCAUAGUUCUGGGCGUGGCUGAGUGGAUUUAAUAAAGACAGAAGUUUUGGGUGGUGGCCCCACCCAAAAGGCUUAUAUCCUGGAUGGGAUAAAAAGAAAGGCAGGCUGCUGCGAGCUGCUUGGUGCUUGCUGCUUUGUUGCCUUAUGCCUGCCUUGCCGUGGACUGGUUUCUUCUGGAAUGCACCUUUGUUAUGAUGCCCUGCUUGGAGUCAGCUGACUAUGGUCAGCAACUCCUAAAGCAACUAAGACAGUCACUCGACUCUUCUGGAGACUACUAGAGCUUAUUCUUUCUGGGUGAUUAUAUUUUGGGGUUCAACUCUGUCUCCCAAUCUAGGCACAAAGCUGUCCAUAGCCUUCAGAUCCAGCUGAGCUGCUGUGGACAUUGUGGCCUAUGGGACCAGCCAGGAGUUCAUCAGUACAGUGUUCAAAAGAAGCAGCUCUGGCAUACCAAAAAGGGAAAAGAAGACACCCAGAUGGGCAAAGGCACUUCCAUCUGCUCUGAGCUGUAUUUUAGGAGCCGCAAACUGGAUCUUUCGAGAGAAAAGGAACACAUUCAGUCAGUCUCUCCCGGAGUGUCUCGAGGACGGACCUGCUGUUUAUCAACAUGCCUCUGUGGAAGCUCCCAGAGAUCUCCUCAGGGUUUUACUGUGGUCUUGCCCUCCGAGGCUUAGGGCCUUUCUGGGGAUCCGGACAUUCUGUAGUGAAGAUGCUGGAUUGGCCAAAUCCUGUGAGGCGCCGUGGAAAAGUAAGAUCCUCCAUUUCCUGGACAAGAAUCUAUUGGAAAAUCUUAAAGAAGCAAGUUAUCUGCUGGAAGUGGUGGCUGCACCUGUAAUCCCAGCACUUUGAGAGGUGGAGAUGGGAAGCUCACAAGUUUGAACCCAGCCUGGGCCACUCAGCAACUUAGUUAGACAUGGUCUCAAAAAUUAAGGGUUGAGGAUGUAGCUCAGUGCAGAGGCCCUGAGUUCAACGCCUCCACAAAAAGCAAGUCAUCAUCCAUUGAAUUCCCAUAGAUCUGUCAACCUGGAAUGUGUAGAAUUCUGCAGUUCAUGCUGUGAUUCACAGGUAGGAAGAAAAACUCUUCGAGGACAGCAGUGCGGGUGUGCACUAAGAACAAACCUCACUCGAGUCCUGUAUGUGCCUGCACAGAGGCUGAUUCUGAAAGACACAACGAGCUGUGGGUGUUGUAAAUAAUCGCUGGGAAAAGGAGGGAAACAGCAACAGAAGCACAAGCCUUCUCCAUCCCAACCCACUCCCUCCUGGGCCUCCACCCAAGGCCCUCUGGUGCACAAGGCCUGGCCUGAGCCUGCAGGAAGGCUGGAGCCACGUGUGGACUCCACCCAGCUCAUGACGGAAGUCACCCCUCCCUCGCCACAGGUCACUGCAGCCCCCUUAGCAGCCCCGGCUCUUAUCAAAGCAAUGCCUUCCGUGCUCUUCCUGUCAUUCUGUCAAAGUCUGAGAGAGAGAGAGACCUUCUGCAAUGGAAAGGAGAUCAAGAGAUCCCCUCCCAAGGGAGGGAGGAGAAGCAAAAGGGAGUGUUAUGUGCCUAUACCACCUGCCCACAGCGAAUGC
ensembl:lncRNA